GGGGCCGUAGUCUAGCAUGGUUAUGACACCUGGCUUGGGCCCAGGAGGUCCUGGGUUCGAAUCCCAGCGGCCCCA
rnacentral:tRNA from 2 species